UGGGGAAUUUUGCACAAUGGGCGCAAGCCUGAUGCAGCGACGCCGCGUGAGGGAUGAAGGCCUUCGGGUUGUAAACCUUCUUCGCUCAUGGUCAAGCCGCAGCUCUGGGCUGUGGUGAGGGUAGUGGGUAAAGAAGCGCCGGCUAACUACGUGCCAGCAGCCGCGGUAAUACGUAGGGCGCGAGCGUUGUCCGGAAUUAUUGGGCGUAAAGGGCUUGUAGGCGGUUGGCCGCGUCUGCCGUGAAAUCCUCUGGCUUAACUGGGGGCGUGCGGUGGGUACGGGUUGACUUGAGUGCGGUAGGGGAGACUGGAAUUCCUGGUGUGGCGGUGGAAUGCGCAGAUAUCAGGAGGAACACCGGUGGCGAAGGCGGGUCUCUGGGCCGUUACUGACGCUGAGGAGCGAAAGCGUGGGGAGCGAACAGG
rnacentral:rRNA from 1 species